rnacentral:ncRNA from 1 species
GCUACUGCCAUGAUGGGGAGAAGUACGUUGAUUGUUUCUUCGCAGGGAGAGAGGGUCGAGACUGGAAAUCCUCUUAAGAAAAGUCAUCGGAAAGUUCGCCCUUGAGCUGCGGUCUGAAAGUAUAUACAUACGAGUAGGUUUCGCCGGUUCUUCUGCCGUUAUCAGAAGUGGAUAAGUGUUUUUAUCCUCUGAGUGGUUCUUUGUAGUAGAACAAUCUGGGUGGUACCACGGAGAUACUCCGUCCCUAUA